UACGUAGGGUGCAAGCGUUAUCCGGAAUUAUUGGGCGUAAAGAGCUCGUAGGCGGUCUGUCGCGUCUGCUGUGAAAACUGGGGGCUCAACCCCCAGCCUGCAGUGGGUACGGGCAGACUAGAGUGCGGUAGGGGAGAUUGGAACUCCUGGUGUAGCGGUGGAAUGCGCAGAUAUCAGGAGGAACACCGGUGGCGAAGGCGGGUCUCUGGGCCGAUACUGACGCUGGAGGAGCGAAAGCGUGGGGAGCGAACAGGA
rnacentral:rRNA from 1 species